ACUGACGACCCGAACGCCGUCUGUGUUUACAAAGAUGGCCGCUUCAUCUGGAGGCCGUACGCCAUAAGUGAGACACACGGGUGUAAGCUGAUCUGCAGACCUGAAAUAAACCAAAUGGACGUUGAGUUGCUUCCUCGGAGAAAAACAAUGUUUUAUAUUUGGGAUAACGUCGCCAUCGCCCUGCAUGUGGACAAACAGGUGCUGAAGUUUGAUGCUGAUCAACUGAGAAAGAACCUCAAGUUCUGCCCUCGAG